GUUUUUUAUUCAACUUACCAAAGGAAAAUGGAUACGAGGAUAUGGAACUAAAUUUGUUUGAAAUUCGGUCUGUCGAUGUUCAAGUUCCUUCUACACAGCUCAUAAAUAGCCUACAAAAUGCAGUUAAUCAUUAAUGAACUAACAUCAAAGAUAUUAUAGCCGAUGAUAAUCGGCGGACAAUUGUUCCAUCAAUAAGCUUGAAAAUCCUGAUCCUGUACCACCACCGAAUGAAUGGAAAAUUAAAAAACCUUGCAAACCUUUGCACAUUUCGGUGAGCCUUCGAAUUCGAUCCAAAGUGAGAUCUAUGAUUUCUUUCCCUGAAAAUAAUUAAUUGUUCUGGAUGAAACAACUGCCUGUACGUACCUGUACGAACUUCAUCUAAAAUAUCAACAGUUCAAACAUAGGAACUAAUUAAUUGUUCUGGAAAAACAUUGAAACUUUUCACACGGUAACUUGCCUACUACUGUUGGUUCAAG